AGCACCAUAGCGCAGAGGAAGCGCGCGGGCUCAUAACAACGGGGUCCAAGGAUCAAAACCCCGCGGUGCCG